rnacentral:lncRNA from 1 species
UUUAUGAUGAGAACGGUUACUUUGUAAUACAAGAAAAAUAUGAAUAAGGAACUUAUCAUAAUUGAUCACGUGCUCCACAUCACCAACCGAUACGAGACGUUAACGACAUAGCAUUGCUGGCUCUCCGACAAUAUGGAUCAACUACGGUGACCAAGGGAUCACGGCGGUACAGAUCUAAGACCGGUGGUGGUGGGGAACAUGCGGCUCCGCCUCGAACGCCUUUCUCUCCAUCUCGCAGAUCCGGUACGUAACCACAGCGCAACGGAUGUGACGGCAGGUAACGGGUCUGUGAUGUCAUGGGCUGCUCCUCCGGUGAUGAAGCAUGGCUCCGGUGGGAUAAGGUGAGAUGGUUCACGGUGGUGGUGGUGCUUGCGUCCCUAAAACGAAAUGACUUUAUCAGCAAGAAAGCUACGGUUUCGCCAUGGAUCUCCACUCCUCACCGAGACACUUCAAAUCGAAUAUAAAUAAUACAAGAUAAAGGCAUUAUUAAUAUAUAUAAUUAUAGGGUUUAUGAUGAGAACGGUUACUUUGUAAUACAAGAAAAAUAUGAAUAAGGAACUUAUCAUAAUUGAUCACGUGCUCCACAUCACCAACCGAUACGAGACGUUAACGACAUAGCAUUGCUGGCUCUCCGACAAUAUGGAUCAACUACGGUGACCAAGGGAUCACGGCGGUACAGAUCUAAGACCGGUGGUGGUGGGGAACGUGCGGCUCCGCCUCGAACGCCUUUCUCUCCCUCUGCUCAUGCUCUCCAUUUCGCAGAUCCGGUACGUAACGGAUGUGACGGCAGGUAACGGGUCUGUGAUGACAUGGGCUGCUCCUCCGGUGAUGAAGCAUGGCUCCGGUGGAAUAAGGUGAGAUGGUUCACGGUGGUGGUGGUGCUUGCGUCUCGCAUCUCCAAACAACAACGCACAGCUUCAUAAAGAGGGAGAAGAAGAACACGGGAAUAAAGGAGGAAAGAGAUGGAGACGAGAGUGAUGAUC